GGACUACAGGGGUAUCUAAUCCCGUUCGCUCCCCUAGCUUUCGCGUUUCAGCGUCAGGUGCAGUCCAGGUGGCCGCUUUCGCCACAGGUGUUCCUCCGGAUAUCUACGCAUUUCACCACUACACCCGGAAUUCCACCACCCUCUACUGCCCUCAAGUCUGGAAGUAUCGGACAGCCUCUCCUGGUUGAGCCAGGAGAUUUCAUGCCCGACUUGCCAAACCGCCUGAACGCGCUUUACGCCCAGUAAAUCCGGAUAACGCUCGUCACCUACGUUUUACCGCGGCUGCUGGCAC
rnacentral:rRNA from 1 species